rnacentral:rRNA from 1 species
AUUGAACGCUGGCGGCAGGCCUAACACAUGCAAGUCGAGCGAGCGGCGGACGGGUGAGUAAUGUCUGGGAAACUGCCUGAUGGAGGGGGAUAACUACUGGAAACGGUAGCUAAUACCGCAUACCAUCAGAUGUGCCCAGAUGGGAUUAGCUGGUAGGUGGGGUAACGGCUCACCUAGGCGACGAUCCCUAGCUGGUCUGAGAGGAUGACCAGCCACACUGGAACUGAGACACGGCCCAUACUCCUACGGGAGGAGGCAGGGGGGAAUAUUGCACAAUGGGCGCAAGCCUGAUGCAGCCAUGCCGCUUGUGUGAAGAAGGCCUGCGGGUUGUAAAGCACUUUCAGCGGGGAGGCGUUACCUGCAGAAGAAGCACCGGCGAACUCCGGGCCAGCAGCCGCGGUAAAC